rnacentral:rRNA from 1 species
AUUGAACGCUGGCGGCAGGCCUAACACAUGCAAGUCGAGCGAGCGGCGGACGGGUGAGUAAUGUAUGGGGCCUGCCCGCUAGAGGGGGAUAACUACUGGACCAGGUGGCUAAUACCGCAUACUAUCGGAUAACCCAUAUGGGAUUAGCUAGUAGGUGGAGUAAAGGCGCACCUAGGCGACGAUCUCUAGCUGGUCUGAGAGGAUGAUCAGCCACACUGUGACUGAGACACGGCCCAACCUCCGACGGAGGCAGCAUUGGGAAAUAUUGCACAAUGGGCGCAAGCCUGAUGCAGCCAUGCCGCGAGUAUGAAGAAGGCCUUAGGGUUGUAAAGUACUUUCAGCGGGGAGGCGUUACCCGCAGAAGAAGCACCGGCGAACUCCGUGCCAGCAGACGCGGUAAUUC